GGACACCAGUGGUGAGAGCGCGUGGUGAGGAGACAGAUUCUCGCCACGCCACCUGGUAGGAGCGACCUGUCAGGUAGGACGCAAUCCAAGCGUGGGCCGCGCCGGAGAUGCCCAACUCGGAGAGGGUGGAGAGGAGGAUCUGAUGGUUCACAGUAUCGAAGGCAGCCGAUAAGUCUAGAAGGAUGAGAGCAGAGGAGAGAGAGUUAGCUUUAGCGGUGCGGAGCGCCUCCGUGAUACAGAGAAGAGCAGUCUCAGUUGAAUGACUAGUCUUGAAACCUGACUGAUUUGGAUCAAGAAGGUCAUUCUGAGAGAGAUAGCGGGAGAGCUGGCCAAGGACGGCACGUUCAAGAGUUUUGGAGAGAAAAGAAAGAAGGGAUACUGGUCUGUAGUUGUUGACAUCGGAGGGAUCGAGUGUAGGUUUUUUUCAGAAGGGGUGCAACUCUCGCUCUCUUGAAGACGGAAGGGACGUAGCCAGCGGUCAGGGAUGAGUUGAUGAGCGAGGUGAGGUAAGGGAGAAGGUCUCCGGAAAUGGUCUGGAGAAGAGAGGAGGGGAUAGGGUCAAGCGGGCAGGUUGUUGGGCGGCCGGCCGUCACAAGACG